CCUACGGGAGUCUGCAGUGGGGAAUAUUGCACAAUGGGCGAAAGCCUGCCGCAGCGACGCCGCGUGCGGGAUGAAGGUCUUCGGAUCGUAAACCUCUGUCAGCAGGGAAGAACAGUCACUGUGCUAAUCAGCAGUGAAUUGACGGUACCUUCAACGGAACCACCGGCUAACUCCGUGCCAGCAGCCGCGGGAAUUCGGAGGGUGCUAGCGUUAAUCGGAAUUACUGGGCGUAAAGCGCUCGUAGGCGGUAUGUCAAGUCAAGGGUGAAAUCCCCGGGCUCAACGUGGGAACUGCCGUUGAAACUGGCAAACUGGAGUGUGUGAGAGGAUAGUGGAAUGCCAGGUGUAGGAGUGAAAUCCGUAGAUAUCUGGAGGAACAUCAGUGGCGAAGGCGACUAUCUGGCACAUAACUGACGCUGAGGAGCGAAAGCGUGGGUAGCAAACAGGAUUAGAUACCCCAGUAGUC
rnacentral:rRNA from 1 species